rnacentral:lncRNA from 1 species
AAGCAAACCUGUGCUUUUUAAUUCUGCUUCCGGUUUGGAGGUCAACUGCAGUGAGGUCUCUAUACCACAGAGUGGUGAGUCCCCAAGUCCCGGUGAACUUAGGAAAUGGGCAUUAUCCUCUGGAAGACGUUUAUAGAGGUGACUUUUUUGGUAAGUCCCUGGGACUCCUGUUGACAUGGGAAUUACUUUCUUCCCUCAGUUGUUGGCGUCUCACAUGGCCAUUCAUCAGCUCAAUACAAACAAGUCUUCACGGAGGUGGAGUUUCCUCCUCACCUGUUGCUAAACCAGGCAGCGUGGAUUGGCAUAUUCACUGACUUCAUGGCACGAAGGCCUACAAAAGCGGAACAACUUUUCACCAGUGCAAAAAUGUUCCAAAAGAUACUCUCUCUGUCCAAUACACUUGUAAGUGCAUUCUAGAAUAUAAAAAAUAGAGAGAGAUAAAUGUUCUGUUGAAAGAUAAUCUCCCAAAAUAUAAGUUUUUAUGUGGUCUACUGUGUCUGCCAUUGAAGUUGAAGACAUACAAGGAGCACUUGACAACUUGAGAACUGCGUUCAAGGAAAGUCUUUAACAAUUCUCCUCCUCACCUCCACCCCUAGUCCUCACCUUCUCCAUCUCGGAAAUAGGAGGAGUCUGUUUCACUCAUUCACAG